rnacentral:rRNA from 1 species
AUUGAACGCUGGCGGCAGGCCUAACACAUGCAAGUCGAGCGGAUGAAGGGAGCUUGCUCCUGCAUUCAGCGGCCGACGGGUGGGUAAUGCCUAGGUAUCUGCCUGUUAGUGUUGGAUAACGUGAGGAAACGGGCGCUAAUACGGCAUACGUCCUGAGGACCAACGGGUGGAAUCUUCGGACCUCCCGCUCUCACAUGAUCCUAGGUCGGAUUAGCUAGUUGGUGGGGUAAAGGCCUACCAAGGCGACGAUCCGUAACUGGUCUGAGAGGAUGAUCAGUCACACUGGAACUGAGACACGGUCCAGACUCCUACGGGAGGCAGCAGUGGGGAAUAUUGGACAAUGGGCGAAAGCCUGAUCCAGCCAUGCCGCGUGUGUGAAGAAGGUCUUCGGAUUGUAAAGCACUUUAAGUUGGGAGGAAGGGCAGUAAGUUAAUACCUUGCUGUUUUGACGUUACCAAAAGAAUAAGCACCGGCUAACUUCGUG